rnacentral:lncRNA from 1 species
GCGCAAUAUGUUCCAGUUCGACCUCACACACUUCAUCGAUGUCCUCUUCACUCUCAAUCGCUGCAUCGUCAUUUAUUCCUUUUCCUCUCUGUGAGUUCUGGCUAAUCACUCUCAUAUCUCCAGUCAUCGGCGUAGAUCUGGGUGGCAUAGGGACUCUCGUGUUAGUGACAACGGGGUUCUUCCUCGGCCGACCUCGUUUGGCCGCGCCGUACAUCAUAAGGCGCACGUUAAUACUCAGCUACUAACUUGCGCCGAAAGGACGUUCUCGAUGUAUGUAUUUUUUAUAAUAAUUACUUGACC